rnacentral:lncRNA from 1 species
GCAGCAUCAGGGAUUUAUCAGGAUUAUUUCCAAUUUAAACUCUUAAAAGUCUCGCUGUAAUUGGGACAACUUUUCGGUUUUCGAUCCUUUUCAACUUUAUACUUGCCAUUUAAACUUUUCCAUUGAAGCGCAAUUAGCCAGUCUCUUGUUGCAGAAACGCGUUCCGAAAUUAUAAGCCUGAUAACUUUGGUGCGAUUCAAGUUAUGAUAUCUAUGAAACCUUACCAGUAAUAUGUAAUUCUGCUUUUGGAGAAGCUAAACUGCAUAUCAUCUCCAAGAUGCUACGAAUUUCCGAAUGGCAGUCCUUAAACAUUGACAAUGAAAUGAUUUCACCAUUUCCACACUGAAUUCGUCCAAAAGAUUUUUGAGAAAAAGCAAUAAUUAUAAACAAGUAAUAACAAGAAUACACGAAACUCAUUAUUAUGAAAGGCAAAUGAG